rnacentral:rRNA from 1 species
UGAUUUUUAUAAAAGGUGAGACCUGCCCCAUGGUUGGUUCUAAAAAAGUUUGUUUUGCUUAUUAAUAAAGACAAUUAAAUGGCCGCGGUAACACUAACUGUGAAAAUGUAGCGUAAUCAAUUGUUAAUUAAUUGUUGACCGGUAUGAAUGGUGUCACGAAAGUUUCUCUGUCUUAAAAAAAUACUUAAUGAAAUUGAAUUUGUAGUGAAGAUGCUACAUUAAAAUUGUAAGACGAGAAGUCCCCAUGGAACUUUACUGAGGGCUUAGGAUUUUUCUAUAAGCGGGAGAGUUUUGUUGGGGCGACAGUUUUUUAAAAAGUAACAAAAACGAACUAUGGUGUAGCUUCACCCUGAAAAAUUUUUUAAGGGACAUUUUUGGUGUGUUUUAUGAUCCGUUGUUUGGAAUGAAAAARAUAACGAAAACAAAUAAAAGUUACCCUGGGGAUAACAGCGCAAUAACGUUUGAGAGUUAAUUAACGACGGUGUUUGCGACCUCGAUGUUGAAUUGCAGCGUCCUAGGAAGUAGUCACUCCUAAGGGUUGGUUUGUUCA